GUGAAAUUUAACUUUGUACUAGGCUGAACCCGAGUUACAUGUGGUGCUCGUCUUAAGCACGUUCUGUGUAUACACCUUAAACAUACGUACACGUCAAUUGGGUCCUAUAAUAACCAAACUGUAAGUAAACAGACAGUUCAGGUGGAAAAUCCUGUGUUCAGCGAUAAACCGUCAACCGUAAGCUUGAAUCGCAACAGUUUAUCAAUACAAAGGCCUGCAAUGGAUUAGCGUUGAUACCGGCCUAUGUUGUACUUGGAAGGGCUGUUAAAGGCGCCACUCUCCUUAAAUACCAGCCACAGGUGGGUGUUCGCCGUGACCUAAUUUUUCUCUGUGUGCGAAUGAAUAUUAAGAUAUUACAGCGCCUGCUUUAAGGCUUUGAAGGACAGGGUUGUGUUAACACCUUGUGUUGCGGUUCAGUGCACAAAUUAAACAGAGGGUAUAGAUCGACGCUUCCGAUUCGCGCAUACGAAAUUGCUGAGGGCGGUACCACAUCAAAAGUUCUGUAAACAAUCUGCGCCAUAUAAGGAAUAAUGAGAUCGGCCGUUGUAUACACUUUAAACCGACCUGCUCUAGUAUAAACAGUUCUAUUAGGAGAACAGAGGGAGAUGACUGGCCCGAAAAUCAUGUUGAUUACUUCACUGGACCUUCGGAAUAUACACACGGCUAUGUAAUGGGUAUUCCCAAGCAACGAGACUUAAUCCGACGUCAUAGGAAGCAGCACGGAUUGCUCAAUUAAACUGCACUCUAGCCAGAAGAUAUCGAUUUAUUUCGAGGACCAUUAUUCUUCUGACUUAAAGAGCUGUGUUGGAUACGUUCGUGCGCCAUUUUGGAAGGAGGAGAACCGUCACACAUGGAGAAUGGGGAGCAGUUUCACCAGGCAAACUAGCUCACUUUUAGAAAAUUUAGGCCCACAACCCCUCCAUAUUGUGAUGCUGGGCCUAGACGCGGCAGGGAAAACGACAGUCCUCUUCAGGAUCAAAUUCGAUCAGUAUUGUAACGCAGUGCCAACAGUGGGGUUUAACUGUGAGAAAGUUAAACUCACCUCAGGGAAAGCAAAAGGAACUAGUUUUGUGAUCUGGGAUGUCGGGGGUCAGGAAAAAUUACGCCCCUUGUGGAAAUCAUACACAAGGAACACAGAUGGUAUCGUGUUCGUAGUCGACAGCGUUGACGCUGAGAGGAUGGAAGAGGCUAGAAUAGAACUGAUACGGACUGCUCGAAGCUCGGAAAACAGCGGGGUCCCCGUGCUAGUUAUAGCUAACAAACAAGAUUUACCUGGGGCAAAGGACCCCAGCGAGAUUGAAAAACUCCUGAGUUUGCAUGAAUUGUCCCCCAAUCAUCUCUGGCACGUCCAGCCAGCCUGUGCCAUCACGGGAGACGGGCUCAGCGAGGCCCUAGAAAAACUUUACGAAAUGGUUCAAAAGAAGAAAAAGACUAGUAAAUCAACGUUGAAACGACGACGAUGACAAGCAGCUUUACAGCUAUUUAUAGUCAUCGUUGUUAACCAUAAUCAUUUGCUUAACCUGAGUCAAGACCUUCAUUCAGUUCGUGUAUGUCAGUGUCUCUAAGGCGGCCAUCUUUAACUACCACCUGCUUGCGAGACCAAAUGAAUUAAUUAGUGAUGUCCAAAGAUUUCGAAGGAACCAGGCGCCGACAUGACAUGCGAGCUCCCUGGGAAGAUGACUUGACCACGCGAUUGCAUGACCCUUUUCAUCUAGUUUCCAUUCUGCUACUUCGUUUGAACCUGGUCACAGGUGGAAAUGGAUUAAGGAGUGUAGGCUUAACACUGUGUGUUUAAAUUUUCUUUGUUUUAAGUCUAUUUGAAAACAGUCUGAAAAAAAAUCUCUAGGAAGAGCUCGUCACUCGCUGACCGAACGACCUAUGAUAAGGAGUGUGCGUCUGACACUUGAAAUUAGAAGUUAAUUGUUUGGAAUAUGUUCGCAAGAAGUUUCUUUAUUAAGUCUUUAGAGACUGCUUGUCAGCCAUUGAUCAGACGACUUUUAUCUUCGGCUGCAUCUUGAUUAAAACAAACGCCAGACACCCUCUGUCUUUGCCCAAGGGGCCUUUUCGUUUCAUACUGCACCGCCAGCAUCGAUUCGCAUAUCAUUCUUCAAAGGAAGCGCCACAACGAUUUUUUCACUUCUCUUUUAUCGCCUUUAAACGAUUUUUGCUUAAUGGCAAUAUUGUUGAAACGAAGACUUUGAACAUUUUCACGUCGCUUUGAAAUUAAAUGAAAAAAUGUGAUCGUAACAAAAGAAGCAUUAUGUAAAUACUAAGACAGUUUUACUGUAGUGAACUUUAGAGUCCAGGUCACAAAAUCACAAUUUAACGAGUGUUCAAAGAUCAGAGUGCCAAGUUUCGGAUUACUAAGUUAUGAGCCAGACGGAAAGAGUCAAAUAACAUUCCUAGCCGUAAAGUGCCAAUAUUGACUUGGUCAGGUGUGUUGGGAUUAUGACUGACCACUCCAUAUGUGUGUGUGUGCAUGCACCCUGAUGUUCGUAGUCUAAAAACAACACUUGCUCUCAGUAGGCAAUCGUUCAGUAUGCGUUACACGUCUCCUUGAUCGUCUGUCCGCAGGGCGACAGGCACGUAAACAUGCUGUAGUCAGUCUGAAAGCUGAUAUCCACAGUUACAGUUAGCCCUGCUGCAUUGCGGCAUUGUCGAGAUUAGCAUUCGAUAACUGAGAUGUAUUACACUAUUUGGAAGUACCUUUCUAAAUUCCAACUGCACUCAUCCUGUACAAAAUUACACUGGUAGAUUAUUUGAUGAGGUUAUUACUACUGGUGGAAAUUGAAAUAGGAGAUUACGACUGCCCACAAAUACAUAUUGAAACGAGAGCAAGGCUAGAGUUACAUGUGGAAUUGUUUAAGCUAGGGUACCUCGGAGUGCCAUUCCAACCAUUGUGUGCAUGUCACCUUCUCUAUUGUUUAUAUAUAUAAUAUAUCUAUAUGUUCACCUAGAGCGCAGGUGAUAGUUUACGAAGGGUAACAUCUUACACCUCUAGCGGGCCUGGAAGUGUUUGAUUAUCGCCUCUGAUAGUUAGCAUUCAAAGUAAAUAAUUAUAAUCUUUAUUUGAGAGCAUACAAUUAAGCCUGUGUUCAUUCAGUACUUGAUAGGAUAAGAUUAGGACGAGAGGUCUACAAGAGGUCAUCUUGUAGUUGGUAUAAGGUAUAAUUUACCCUACGACCUCUGUUGAAGGGGGCACUAGGACCUUCAUCAAUUUUAGAAGACAUGUAGUACUGGACGGAUAAUAGAAGAUCAUAUGUUAGAAAGUCGUGUUCAUUGUAGAGUGGCUUAGAGCUGCGUUGUACUUGUCCUCACAAGAUGAAUAUAUGAAUAUGGAUAUUAAAGUCUCUUCGUAAUGUAGCCUAUGUUGUCUUUUGUAUACUGUUAUUCCCCUCACCCCUUCCCCACGCUCCACUGCCCUGCGGUUUGGUGGGUUAGUGGGAUGGGGGUGUAAUGGGGUUAAAAUCACGUGUAUGUCCUUACUUUAAACAAGUACUCCAUGUUAAACCAAUAUUGUGGGGUGCGUGUAGAAGCAAGCAUGUGUAAAAUUCUUUAGUGGGAGUGACUUAAAGUGGAUCGCAUUUGAUAACUUGGCUUUUUGACACACCCGCUAAUCGUUAAUUCAUCCUCUUUUUAGUGCUUCAGUGAAGUACAUUACAGUUUGGUAUCGAUGUCCCUUUCGAAUACAUUAUUCUUUUCAAUUCAAACGUUUUUUUUCUGAUGUCAAAAUCUGAUACCUGGAUAACUGUACAUUUGGAAAUGCUAGGCACUACUAGUCAACAUCUGUGUUUUGAAGUCCACGCCAACACCGCGUAAUUUACUCUUGGUCUUUUCAUAUCCAAAAAGUUGAGUGAUGAGGAUUGAGAGGUUAUUCAUUGAACACUAUUGAUUAAGAUAGUAAAAACGGGGCAUUGUUUACAUAUUCCAAAUCAAGUUGUCAUUUUAUCAUUUAGAUCUACAAUUAUACUGAGACGGAUUGGUUGUUUUAUUCACAUUUGCAAUCCUCAGUUGCCUGUGUACGACCCGUCUCAGUCCUAAAAUGAAUGUAAUUGCUGUGACUUACUACGUAUUUGCGAGCCAGCGUCGUAAAUGCACAUCAACCUUUUGAAUUAUAAAAUAUAUAUUG